rnacentral:rRNA from 1 species
CCUUCAUGAAGUCGGAAUUGCUAGUAAUGGCAGGUCAGCAUACUGCCGUGAAUACGUUCCCGGGCCUUGUACACACCGCCCGUCACACCAUGAGAGUUGGGAAUACCCGAAGCCUGUGAGCCAACAAACGAGGCAGCAGUCGAAGGUAGAAUCAAUGAUUGGGGUGAAGUCGUAACAAGGUAAC